GAGUUCAUCCACCACCUCCUUCUCCGCGGUGACAGAUCACAGCUAUAGAUCCUCCGGUGAUAGCUGAGCGCGGUGAGCUGCGCGCCCGACUCCGCUCCUCGCGGUCUCCCGGAUACCGCGGCUGCGGCAGAGGACCCUGAUGGGAGAGGUGGCGGCGGCUCAGUCCUUCCAGCCCCAGCAGGGAUGGAUGAUGAAGGCUCCAGCAAGGUGUGGUGUGUAAAUGCUCCAGGGAGUCCCUAGUUCCUUCCAUAUGGCUACAUCCAGCUGAGGCUCUUCAUCCCCGGGGUCCCUGCUGCACAAUCCACACAAGAGACUUUCCCUUUCCUGGUUACCAAGAAGACAAAUUCUCCCCUCGGAAACACUCUCCUUGAUCCAGUAUCUUCCCCACUUUUGGUAGUUACUGAACUGGAAAUGAAUUAGUCACAUAAAUCCAGUCACUAGUUUCCUGAGGCAUGUACACACAGAAGCUUUGGAUAUGACCUGGGGUAAGUACUGAAAGUAGGAAGUUUUUACUGUAUUGGUGGGGGAUUGUUGAAGUCCCCU
rnacentral:lncRNA from 1 species